rnacentral:pre_miRNA from 1 species
AAGCGCCUCCUGCUCCACCCACUCGGCCGCCACGUGGCGGCCGGGUGAGGGCCUCGGGGCGGUGC